AUACGAGGGGUGCAAGCGUUAAUCGGAAUUACUGGGCGUAAAGCGUUCGUAGGCGGUUUGUUAAGCAAGAUGUGGAAGCCCUGGGCUCAACCUGGGAACUGCAUUUUGAACUGGCAAGCUAGAAUACUGUAGAGGGUGGUGGAAUUUCCAGUGUAGCGGUGAAAUGCGUAGAGAUUGGAAGGAACAUCAGUGGCGAAGGCGGCCACCUGGACAGAUAUUGACGCUGAGGAACGAAAGCGUGGGGAGCGAACAGGAUUAGAAACCCCGGUAGUCC
rnacentral:rRNA from 1 species